CCUACGGGUGGCAGCAGUGGGGAAUAUUGCACAAUGGGCGCAAGCCUGAUGCAGCCAUGCCGCGUGUGUGAAGAAGGCCUUCGGGUUGUAAAGCACUUUCAGCGGGGAGGAAGGCGGUGAGGUUAAUAACCUCAUCGAUUGACGUUACCCGCAGAAGAAGCACCGGCUAACUCCGUGCCAGCAGCCGCGGUAAUACGGAGGGUGCAGGCGUUAAUCGGAAUUACUGGGCGUAAAGCGCACGCAGGCGGUCUGUCAAGUCGGAUGUGAAAUCCCCGGGCUCAACCUGGGAACUGCAUUCGAAACUGGCAGGCUAGAGUCUUGUAGAGGGGGGUAGAAUUCCAGGUGUAGCGGUGAAAUGCGUAGAGAUCUGGAGGAAUACCGGUGGCGAAGGCGGCCCCCUGGACAAAGACUGACGCUCAGGUGCGAAAGCGUGGGGAGCAAACAGGAGUAGAUACCCUGGUAGUC
rnacentral:rRNA from 1 species